rnacentral:misc_RNA from 1 species
GGGUGCUUUCGCUAAUCUUCCUCUAGGGUUGGCUCCAGGCAUGGGCGCAAACGCUUAUUUCGCUUACACAGUCGUUGGGUUUCACGGGUCUGGUAAUGUUUCAUAUGGGAGCGCAUUAGCUGCAGUUUUCAUGGAAGGUUUGAUCUUUUUAGCGAUAUCUGCAAUUGGGUUGCGAGCACAACUCGCGAAACUCAUCCCAAAACCGGUUCGGAUCAGCU